rnacentral:lncRNA from 1 species
GACAUAAAAGAGUUGCUUAUGGAAAUGAUAAAGAGAAGGGAGAAGGCAAUUAAAGCAGGGGAAGAGAGCAAUGAGGACUUGUUGGACAUACUUGUGGAAUCCAAUAUCAGAGAAAUGGAAGCAAAGAAUAUGGGGAUGAGCAUUGAGGAUGUGAUUGAGGAAUGCAAGCUGUUUUACUUAGCUGGCCAAGAGACCACUUCGGUCUUACUGGUGUGGACUAUGGUUUUAUUAGCAAGGUAUCCCGAUUGGCAAAGUAAAGCAAGAGAGGAGGUUUUGCAUGUUUUGGGUGACAGUAAACCUGACGCUGAUGGCCUUAAUCGUCUCAAAGUUGUAAGUCCCUAGCAUGUCUUUUGAAGGUCCGAUCAAUGAGGUCGACAACUCAAAAACUUUGUUUCUUUUUUCGCUAAUUCUACAGGUAACAAUGAUAUUGUACGAGGUUCUAAGGCUGUACCCACCGGUGGUUGAGCUAGAACGUUCCGUUCCAAAAGAAAUAAAACUGGGGAAUUUGUUGUUACCAGUAGGAACAGAAGUUUCGGUUCCGAUCCUGCUGAUCCACCAUGACAAAGAUCUUUGGGGCGAUGACGCACGGGAAUUUAAGCCAGAGCGGUUCGCGGAAGGGGUUUCCAAAGCAACAAAGAGUCAAGUCACGUUUCUGCCAUUCGGAUGGGGUCCUAGGAUCUGUAUUGGCCAAAAUUUUGCUAUGAUGGAAGCCAAAAUGGCGAUGGCUAUGAUUCUCCAACGCUUCUGGUUCGAGCUUUCCCCUUCCUAUGCUCACUCUCCUUACGGCAGGGCAACUCUUCGUCCACAGCAUGGUGCACAGAUAAUUUUACAUAAACUUGGCUGUAAUUGAAUUGUUAUGUAAACAAAUCUUUGUGAAAACAUAGCGUUUUAGUUUAUCGUCAAAGUCCGGUGUCUGUAAUGGUACAAAUUCGAUGCAUGAAUAGUAAAGUUUGAGAUGUUUGGUGAAGUCCGAAAUAAUAUGCAGAAAUUGAGUGUGGUAAUUAUCAAUCAAAUAAUUCGGUACAAAGACUUAUAUGGAAAUUAAAGCAGGGGGAGUUGAAAAUGACUACUCUGCUUUGGGCAUCAAUUUAGAAAGAUUUAAAGUACAAAUGUGUUAUUAGUUAAGGGAUUUGUUUUAAAGAGGGAAUGACAAUUAAACCUCAUGGUUGAUUUGUGGAAGGGAACCGAUGAUGGGAUGAUUAUUCUUAGUGGUAAAAAAAACUAUUGUGGAGGUUAUUAUACUUGUUAUCAUCGGCUUAAAAUUCGAAUGGGUUCAAGUCGGAUUAUAUCGAGCUUGUAAGAUGAGUUCACGGAUCAAGUUUGCAUAAUAAAAAUACUUAAAUGAAAAAAUUUCUAUUUUAGAGGGACCAGAGCCCCUACCAACUCCCGGCUCAGCUACUAAACAAUACCCAUAUCAUAUAAAUAAAUACCACAUAAAAAAAACUCAAAGAAAAACACUGACAAAUGAUAAAUAGAUAGAUGUUGGAUAAGUGUCCAAAAUAUGAUUUAAGUGAAGAUACAUGGGGUAGGUGUCACGGAAAUGUGAAUACAAGAAUACUACUAAUGGGAUGUGUACAGUUGAAUGUAGGGAGCAAAAAGAGGAGUGAAUCAUUUUGGUAACAUUGGGACAAGAAACAUAAUGAACAAAAUGGAAGCAGAGGAAGCUAGUAAAAGAAAUUUUUUGGGUCAUAUAAUUUGUUUGGCAUAUAUUUUUAUAAUUUUUAAAUAUCAUUUUGGACUUGAAUUAUAAUUUUUUUAUAUAUUAUCUUAAAAUUGUAUAAAUUUUAAGGAGUUAAAACAAAAUUAUUCUAUUUUUAGAUGGUUAAAGUAGAGAUGAUAAUGGGUUGAGCUAUUCGGCCCAGCCUGACGAUCCACCCGAAAAAUAGGAAGGUUUGGGUAAAAAUAUAGGCUCGAAAUAUGAAUUUGAGCAAAAAAAGAGGCCCGUUUAGAAAAUAGGCCGGGCCUCAGGUAAAACCUUUUGGGCCCAGACCUGACCUAAAUUAUAUAUUAAAUAUAUAUAUUUUUAUUUUUAAUCAAAUAUACUUUUGUUUUAUUAUUAAUUUGGUUAUUAUUUUAGUUCUAAUUUGUUUCAAUUUUAAUAUAACUACUUUUUAUUAUAUUUUCAAUUUGUGUAUUGUUUUAAGAAUUAUUUUAGUCUCAUUAUUUAUUUAUUUUUUAUUUUAAUAUUUGUUUUAAAAUUUUUUAUUUAUUGAAAUAAGCUAAAAAAAUUAAUAUGGGUUGGACCAGACCGGGCUCGGGCCUAGUAAUUUUCUUUUGGGCCGGACUUAAACAAAUUUUUAAGCCCAUAUUUUGAAUUGGGUCCUACACUAGAAAAUGGACCUAAAAUUUUGUAUUACCUUUAGGUCAGAGCUAUCCUCGUUUUGCAUUUCUUUGAGAUUCAGCCUUAUUUACUUUUGAUUGCCACUCAAUAGAGGGUUGAGUAGAAAUAUUUGGUGAAGCAAGCUAAGCUAUCAAUCAAGGUGUGCAUAAUUAUUUAAAUGUAAUUCUAAUAUUAAAAUAAAAUUUUUAUUAAUAUAGUAUCAACAAGCAUUAAAUGUAAUCAUCAUAUACUAUUAAAUUUUCAAUAAGAGAAAACAUGCUUGAACUUUAAAAACGAUGUUACUAAAAACAUUAUCACAAAUCUUGAAAUAUAAAAAAUAUUUUUUAAUAUAAUAAAAAAUAAUUUUAAACCCGAGAUGAAUAAAAUUCUAAUUUUAAUUAAUGAUACCAACAACAAAUCAAUAUUUAAAUUAAAAUUUAUCUUAAUUUAAUAUAAUAAAAUUGGACCUGAAUAUUGAAUUUUUGAGUCUUGGGCAAAGUAGAGGUGCUCAUGGGCCGGGCUGGGUCGGGUUUGGGAAAAAUUUCGGCCCGCAUCCUAGGCUCGGGCUCGGCCCGACCCAAAUAUGGGCCUAAAAUUUUGUCUAGGCCUAGCCCGACCCGGCCCGACUUAUUUUUUUUAAUAAACACCAACAAUUUAUUUUGAAAAUAAAAAAAUAAAAAAAGUAUUUUAAAAAUAUUUUAAAAUUUUUAAAAAAUAUAUAUAUUUAUUAUAUAUUCGGGCCGGGCCAGGCCCGAGCCAAAAAAGUGGCGCCCAAGGCCCGGCCUGUUUUCUAAACGGGACUCAUUUUUUACCCAAACCCAUAUUUCGGGCCUAUAUUUCUACCCGAAUCUCUCAUAUUUCGGGCGAACCGUCGGGCCAGACCGGGCCGCCCGGCCAUGAACACCUCUAGGACAAAGUCACUCAAUGAAUGCAUGGAAAGAAAUAAUGCAACUUGGUGAUAGCUUUUGUUGGAGUUAUAUGCUUUUUUUUUACGUAGUGGAACUUUCGGUGGAUUUUCAAGUUUCAUGAACUUUAUACCCUAUGCUUUACGUGAAAAAAAAUCAUUGGACUUAAAAGUCUGCCAAAAGUUUCACUAUAAUAAAUAAAUAAAUAACAUUGCUACAAGACUUCAACAUAAAGUUACAAUAAGAGCUUAUAACUCAACAAAGGCUAUCAAUAAAUAAUCUCAAACAAAUUAAAGAGAAAUGUUGAGAGUACCACUCGAAUAGUGAUUAACUUUAAAAAUUGAAAACCCAAAGUUAUAAUAUCCCAAACGAAAUCAAACCAUAAACAUUAAAUUUUUCGAGUCUACUAGAUACUGCAAAAAAUUCAGCUCCAACAGACACCAAAUGAACCUAUGAUCGAAGAAAAUACGAAAAUUAGUCUAGCUAAAUCAAGCUGCCAAACUUACUUUUUAUCUUAUCUUUAAUUUGCUGUGAAAUUCAAAACUAAGGUUUUGUACUUAGAACAACUUUCAAAAAGUUAAUUUUGAAAAAUGGAUUGAAUUUUCAAAAUAGAUGAUAUUUUAUUGUGUUAAAAUUUUAUUCGUUGUUUGAAAAAAAAUUUAAAUCAUUUUCUUAGAAUUAUUUUUAGUGAAACAAACAUAUCAUAAAUAUAUUUGUUAUAAAAUAUUUAUAUUAAUAUUUUCUUUUAACAAUUAAAAUAUAUUUUGUGAUAAGGUAUAUUUUAUAAUAAUUAAUAUCAUAUAUACUUAAUAAUAAAUCAUGUCUAAUUAAAAUUUAAUUUCAAUUAAAUAUAUUAAUAAAGCUACAUAUAAUCAUAUUUUAUAUAAUAAAAAUAUUAAUAUAAAUAUUUUUUUAAUAAUAUAUUAAAGAAUAUUUAAAAUUUAAAUUUAUUAUUACUAAGAUUAAUUAUUAAAAUAAAAAUGUAAUAUUAAAUAAUUUAUCCAAUGAUAAGUUAUAUUAAUAAUUUAUUAUAUUAUUAAAUAUAAAUAAUUAAAUAUGUAUGUUUAAUAAUAUUAUGUUAUAAUAUUUAUUAUUAAUAUUUUAAUAUUUUUAAACAACCAUGUUUUAAAGAUGGUGGUGAUGCUGAUGGUGCAGGCCCCCUUGUUACAAUUACAAUAUUUUUAAGUGGGAUGCAUGUAAUAUAUUGUUAGGGUUCUAGAGUGUGUCAUCUUUAAAAGGGUUAAAUUAUAUAUUUAUAUAAUAUGAUUAUUGUUUAUAAACAUAAUAUUGUAGAUAAACUUUUAUGCAUGUCAAUAUGUAUCCUACUCUGGGGUUAAUAUGUAUUUUUAGAUAUGGAUUCACCUAUAUAAUAGUAUGAAUCCAUCAUGCGGUCUCAUGAAAUAUACAAACACAUAUCGUGCGAACACAAAGUACGAACAAUAAAAAGUACAAAUCAAGACCAAUUGAGUAAUUGAAUAACAGAUAGGUAAUAAUGACUAUCCCCUCUUGUUUGAAUUUAUUUUAUUUCCAGUGAGUUAUCGUUUAUGAUAAAUUUACAACAAAUGUUUUUAUCAUUAUUUUGUUGGUAAAUGAUAAUAAGAUUAAACUUUACUUUCUUAAGCUCCUUCAAUUCUUUGGACGUUAGCAAGUAAACUUGAGCUUCAGCAUUCCACAAACACCUUAAUUUGAAGACACAGUUCUCCCAUACUAAAAACAACAUGGACGUUUACCUUGUAAUUAAUGAUACGGGGAUGGAGAGCUUUAAACUGGGUAUGGCUGGCCCCAAAGAGGCUCGAAACGUGCUUGAGACUAGAGGUCCAGGCAAAUUUUUAGGCCCAUUUUUUAGGCUUGGACUGGGCCCGACUCGAAAUAUGAGCUUAAAAAUUUGUCUAAGUUCGGUCCAAAAGAAAAUUGUUAAGCCUAAGCCUGGCCCAUAUUAAAUUUUACAACACCAAAAAACUAUAUAUUUAAUAUAUAUAUUUGAUUAAAAAGUAUAUUUAAUUAAAAAUAAAAAUAUAUAUUUAAUAUAUAAUUCGGGCCGGGCCGAACUCGGGCCAAAAAAGUUUUACUCGGGGCUGGUCCGUUUUCUAAACAGACCUCGUUUCUUUGUCAAAAUCCAUAUUUUAGGCUUAUAUUUUUACCCGAAACUUCCUAUUUUUCGGGUGAGCCGUCAGGCCGGACUGGGUAGCCCAACCAAUGAUCACCUCUACUUGAGACAACAGGGUUUUGCAGGGAAUUCUUACAGGUUCGUUUCUGGCGACAUAAAAGAGCUCUUCACUAUAAGCAUACAAACAAGAGCCAAACCUAUGCCUCUUAGUGAUGAUAUUGGGCCUUAUGUUGUUCCUUUUCAACAUCAAACCGUCAACCAGUAUGGUAUGUUUUUUAAUUUAAUCUACAAUUUAUGAUAAUUCUUUGCUAUUUAUGUAUGGAAUUUAUUGGGAGGAAAUGCUGGGAAGAAUUCAUUUACGUGGAUUGGUCCAAGAUCAAGGGUGAACAUUACGGACCCUGAAAAAUAAGAGAAAUACUUAACAAAUUUAAUGAGAUCCAGAAGGUACGUACCAAUCCACUGCUUAAUUUGCUUGUAAGCGGCCUUGUUAACCUCGAAGGAGACCGAUGGAGCAAGCAUAGAAAAAUCAUAACCCUUCAUUUCAUCAAGAUAAGUUGAAGGUAUAGAAUAGUGAUGGGUACUUAAGACUUAAUUUACAGAAAACAUCAUACUUAAAUCUAUGCUUUUCUGAUUUAGAAAUGAUUGGAUGCAGAAUAUGUUGCCAGCAUUUUAUCAAAGUUGUUGUGACAUGUUAAGCAAAUGGGAGAAGAUGGUGUGUACAGAAGGAUACAGUGAGUUAGAUGUGUGGCCUUAUCUUGUAGAUUUGACAAGAGAUGUGAUUUCCCGAUCUGCUUUUGGAAGCAGCUUCGAAGAAGGCAGACGAAUUUUCCAAUUACUAGAGGACCAACUCGUUCUCACAAUCAAAUUAAUACAAACUGUUUACAUUCCAGGAUGGAGGUAACCCUCAACUUAAUUUACUUGAAAAAGGUUGCAAAUGUUGGAAUUCGCUAAAUUCGUGUUUGUUUUCUUGAAGGUUUUUGCCAACAAAGACAAACAGGGAGAUGAAGAUGAAACACAGACAUAAAAGAGUCGCUUAGGGAAAUGAUAAAGAGAAGGGAGAAGGCAAUUAAAGCAGGGGAAGAGAGCAAUGAGGACUUGUUGGACAUACUUGUGGAAUCCAAUAUCAGAGAAAUGGAAGCAAAGAAUAUGGGGAUGAGCAUUGAGGAUGUGAUUGAGGAAUGCAAGCUGUUUUACUUUGCUGACCAAAAGACCACUUCGGUCUUGCUGGUGUGGACUAUGGUUUUAUUAGCAAGGUAUCCCGAUUGGCAAAGUAAAGCAAGAGAGGAGGUUUUGCAUGUUUUGGGUGACAGUAAACCUGAUGCUGAUGGCCUUAAUCGUCUCAAAGUUGUAAGUCCCUAGCAUGUCUCUUGAAGGCCCGAUCUCUGAGGUCGACAACUCAAAAACUUGGUUUCUUUGUUUCGCUAAUUCUACAGUUAACAAUGAUAUUGUACGAGGUUCUAAGGCUGUACCCACCAGUGAUUGAGCUAGGACGUUCCGUUCCAAAAGAAAUAAAACUGGGAAAUUUGUUGUUACCAGCAGGAACAGACGUUUCGGUUCCAAUCCUGCAGAUCCACCAUGACAAAGAUCUUUGAGGCGACGACGCACGGGAAUUUAAGCCACAGCGGUUCACGGAAGGGGUUUCCUAAGCAACAAAGAGUCAAGUCACGUUUCUGCCAUUCGGAUGGGGUCCUAGGAUCUGCAUUGGCCAAAACUUUGCCAUGAUGGGAACCAAAAUGACGAUGGCUAUGAUUCUCCAACGCUUCUGGUUCGAGCUUUCCUCUUCCUAUGCUUACUCUCCUUACAACAUGGCAACUCUUCGUCCACAGCAUGGUGCACAGAUAAUUUUACAAAAACUUGGCUGUAAUUGAAUUGUUAUGUAAACAAAUCUUUGUGAAAAUAUAGUGUUUUAGUGUAUCGUCAAAGUCUGCCUGUAAUGGUACAAUUCCGAUGCAUGAAUAGUAAAUCUUGAGAUGUUUGGUGAAGUCCGAAAUAAUAUGCAGAAAUUGAGUGUCUUGAAUGGAUGUAGUAUUUAAUGGUGGACAUAGUUGAGGGACUAAUGUGGUAAUUAUCAAACAAAUAAUUGCAUAUGGUACAAAGACUUGUAUGGAAAUUAGAGCAGGGCGAGUUGAAAAUUACUACUUUGCUUCGGGCAUCAAUUUAGAAAGAUUUAAAGUACAAAUGUAUUAUUAGUUUAAGGGAUUUGUUUUAAAGAAGGAAUGACAAUUAAACCUCAUGGUUGAUGUGUGGAAGGGAACCAAUGAUGGGAUGAUUACUCCUAGUGGUAAAAAAAAAAACUAUUAAGGUGGUUAUUAUAGUUGUUAUCACCGGCCCAAAAUUAGAAUAGGUUCAGGUCGGAUUAUAUUGAGCUUGUAGAUGAGUUUGCAUGAUAAUAGGUGUUCACAGAAAGAUAUCUAUAGUUUCCUACAAAGUCACAUGUGAGAUCGUGCAUUGGGACCGCAUAAAAAUGUUUUAUGUUUAGAAUAUGAUACGUGUCUAUGUGUAUGGAAUCUACCUAAUAUAUCAUAUUAAUUAAUAGUAUCAAUUGCGGAGCCAAAAAAUUAUUUCUGAGGGGUCAGAAUUAAAUUGUAUAUUUUUACAAAAAUAAAAAUUAAAUUUCACUAUUUUAAUAGUUUAUUUCUUUUUAAUUUUUAAAUGAUUAAAUUAAAUUUUUAUAAAUUUUUGGGAUCAAAGUACAAUUUUAUCAUUUCUAAUUUAAAAUUUUAUAAAAUAUAAAAAGUUUAUAUGAAAAGUUUUCUAUUUUAGAGUGGCCAAAGCCCCUGCCAACUUCCGACUCGAUCACUAAACAAUAUAAAUAAAUAAAUACCACCAUCUAAAAGACUCAAGAAAAACACUCAACGAUAAAUAGAUAGAUGUUGGGUAAAGAUACGUUUGGAUGGGCGGUGCGUUUACUUGCGGUUAGUAUAAAAAUAGCGGUGGCGGUUAGAUUAGAUACUAUAGCAACACUGUAGCGUAAGACAAAAAAUAAGCUAAACGCACUGCACUGCACUUAAUCGCCCAUCCAAACUCACCCUAAGUGUCCAAAAUAUGAUUUAAGUGAAGAUACGUAGGGUAGGUGUCAUGGAAAUGUAAAAGACAAGAAUCCCACUAAUGUAUGGGAUGUGUACAGCUGAAUGUAGGGAGCAAAGAGGAGUGAAUCAUUUUGGUAACAUUUGGACAAGAAACAUAAUGAACAAAAUGAAAGGAGAGGAAGCUAGUAAAAGAUUUUUUUGGGUUAUAUAAUUUGUUUGGCAUAUAUUUUUAUAAUUUUUAAAUAUCAUUUUGGAGUUGAAUUAUAAUUUCUUUUUAUGUUUUAAAACAUAAUUAUUCUAUCUUCAAAGGGUUAGAGUAGAGGUGAGCAUGGGUCGGGCUACUCGGCCCGAAAUGUGAGAGAUUUGGGCAAAAAUAUAGGCUCAAAAAAUGGACUUGGACAAAAAAAUAUAAGGCCCGUUGAAAAAUGGGCCGGGCAUUGGGUAAGGCAUUUUUGGCCCCGGGCCCGGCCCAAUCCUAAUUCACUAAAGGACAAAAAAAAUCUGAUUUUUAAAUAUUAUUUUCUCCCUAUUUUGCUACCAUUUUACUAUUAUGUUGCUACUAUUUUGUUGUUAUUUUUUGGAUAUUGUAUAAAACUUAUUUUAUUGUUAAUUUUGUUAUUAUUUUAAAGACAUUUGUUAAUUUUGUUAUUAUUUUAGAGACAUUUGCUUGUUAAGUUGCAUCUAUCUUAGUGUUAUUUAAGUAUACAUAUUUUUUAAAAUUUAUUUUCAAUUUAUUGGGAAAUAUUUAUUUUGAUGUUUUUAGUAUUUUGGAUGUAUUAUAUAUAUUAAAAUUAUAUAAAAAUUAAUAUGGCCGAGCCGAGUCAGGCCCAGAUUUUAGCAUUUUUAUUCAAGUCGGGCUUGAGCAAAAUUUUAAGCCCAUUUUUUGGGCCAAACCAGGCCUGGGCUUAGCAAAUGGGCCUAAAUUUUUAGUCAAGCCCGACCUAAACCCGAUCCGGCCCAUACUCACCUCUAGAUCAGAGCUGCCCUCGCUUUUCAUUUCUUUGAGAUUCAGUCUUAUCUACUGUUGAUUGCCCACUCAAUUGAGGGUUGAGUAGAAAGAUUUGGUGAAGCAAGCUAAGCUAUCAAUCAAGGUUGGAGAAAGCUUAGGAGGUCACAAUGCAUAAUUAUUUAAAUGUAAUUCUAAUAUUUAAAUAAAAUUUAUUAAUAUAGUAUUAACAAGCCCUAAAUGUAAUGAUUAUAUACUAUUACAUUUUUAAGAAGAGAAAACAUGUUUGAACCUUAAAAACAUCAUUAUUAAAAAUGAUAAUUAAAAAUUUUAAAAUAUAAAAAAUAUAAUUAAAAAUUAAUUUUAAACCCGAGCUGGAUAAAAUUCUAAUUUUAGAUAACGAUACUAAUAAGAAAUCAAUAUUAAAAUGAAAAUGAAAAGUAAUUUAAUAUAAUUUUUGAGUCUUGGGCAAAGGCACUCAAUGAAUGCUUGGAAAGAAAUAAUGCAACUUGGUGAUAGCUUUUGUUGGAGUAAUAUGCUCUUAUUAUAGUUUUAUGUUUUUAUCUUGCAAAAACAACAUAUUGGAGUUUUCGGCAUGAUUUUUUCUUAAUACUUUACAUGAAAAAUAAUAAUGGGACUUAAAAAUCUAUCAAAAGCUUCACCAUAAUAAUAAUAAUAAUAAUAAUAAUAAUAAUAAUAAUAAUAAUAAUAAUAAAUUGCUACAAUAUUACAACACGUUACAAUAAGAGCUUAUAACUCAACAAAGGCUAUCAAUAAAUAAUCUCAGGCAAGCUAAAGAGAAAUGUUGAGAAUACCACCCGAAUAGUGACUGACUUUAAAAGUUGAAAACCCGAAGCUAUAGUAUCUCAAACGAAAUCAAACCAUAAACAUUAAAAUUUUCAAGUCUACUAGCUACUGUAAAAAAUGCAGCUCCAACAGACACCAAAUGAGUCUUUGAUCGAAGAAAGUACAAAAACUAGUCUGGGUAAACCAAGCUGCCAAACUUACUUAUCUUAUCUUUAAUUUUGCAGUGAAAUUAAAAACUAAGUUUUUGUUUAUUUCACUUGGAACAACUUUCAAAAAAUUAUUUUUGAAAAAUGGAUUGGUUUUUCGAAAUAGAUGAUAUUUUAUUGUGUUAAAAUUUUAUUCGUUGUUGGAAAACUUUUUUUAAAUCAUUUUCUUAAAGUUAUUUUUAGUGAAACAAACAUAACAUAAAUAUAUUUGUUACAAAAAAAUUAUAUUAGUAUUUUCUUUUGACAAUUAAAAUUUAUUUUAUGAUAAGACAAUAUUUUGUAAUAAUUAAUAUCAUAUAUAUACUUAUUAAAAAAAUCUUGUUUAAUUAAAAUUUAAUUAAAAUUAAAUAUAUUAAUAAAGCUACAUAUAAUCAUAUUUUUUAUAAUUAAAAUAUUAAUAUAAAUAUUUUUCAAUAAUAUAUUAAAAUAUUAAAAUUUAAAUUAUUAUUACUUAAAUUAAUUAUUAAAAUAAAAAUUUAAGAUUAAAUAAUUUAUUCAAUGAUAAGUUUUAUUAAUAAUUUAUUGUAUUAUUAAAUAUAAUUAAUUAAAUAUGCAUAUUUAAUAAUAUUACGUUAUAAUAUUUUAAUAUUCUUAAACAGCCAUGUUUUUAAGAUGCUGGUGAUGGUGAUGGUGCGGGCCUCUCUUGUUACAAUUACUAUAAUUUUUUGUGCAAUAAUUGAAGUUGUUGGGUGGUCAAGCAAACCUCUUUUGACUGAGAUGCAUAUAAUAUACCCGCAUGUCCCCGCCUCCUAAAAUUUAAAUUUGCUAUUUGAAUCUUUAAAAUUUUUAAAAAUUUUAAAUUCAUAAAAGUAAAAUUAUACUUUGACCCUCUAAAAUUAUAAAAAUUUAAUUUAAUCUUUUAAAAAUUAUAAAUAUAUAGACUAUAAAAAAUUAAAAUUUCAUUGGGCCCCUAAUAUAUUGUUCAGGCUUCACCCUUGAUACUGAUGUUGACUAUUUUAGAGUAUGUGUCUUCUUUAAUAGGGUUAAAUUAUAUAUUUAUAUAAUAUAGUUAUUGUUUAUGGACGUGACAUCGUAACUAGGUUCUUAUGCAUGUCAACAUAUAUCCUAUUUUAAGGUUAACACGUAUUUUUAAAUAUGAAUUCACCUAUAUAAUGGUAUGAACCAUCAUGCAGUCUCAUAAAAUAUGCGAAUAUAUGUCGUGCGAACACAAAGUACAAACCACACAGAAUACGAAUUAAGACCCAAUUGAAUAAUCGGAUACGAAUCAGUAAUAAUGAAUUUCAUAACAGCCACCAACCCCUCUUUUGUUUUAAUUUAUUUUAUUUCCAGUAAGUUAUUGUUUGUGAUAAUUCACAACAAAUGCUUUUGUCAUUAUUUUGUUGGUAAAUAAUAAUAAGAUUAAACUUUACUUUCUUAAGCUCCUUCAAUUCUUUGGAAGUUGGUGGUUUUUUAUUCUAAUCUUAUUUUUUUUAUUAAUUUCUUUUUUUAUAAUAAAUGUGUUUAUAGAUCAGGUUGGAUUAUAAUUGAAUCAUUGUCUGGUAUUAACAUAAUUUAUAUCGAUUAAAAUUUAUUCGACUGGAAAUAUAAAUUUAAAAUUUUACUUCAAUUUAUCUUAAUUUAUAAAUUGUGAAUUUAAAUUUAUUUAUUUUCUCUCAUUAUAUUCAGUUUUUCGGAUCAUAUUUGGCCCAGAACAAAAACUAGAACAAAAAAACAAAUAUAUAUGUUUUCCAAAAAUUAAAUUGUUAACUUCAAAAAAAUAUAUUUUUAGCUAUUUAUCAUCAUAGAGAAAAACAAAUAAGGUCACCUCGCCUUAUGCUUCAACACCUCAACCUAGAUUCUCAUCACCUGUAUUUAUCAUCGAUUCAGAUUUUUAUUUUUACUAUAUUCUAGAUCUACCUAUAAAUAUAUCUUCAAACUUCCUCUGGUUAAGUUCAUUCAUAGAUAGGUGAGUAAACUUGAGCUUCAGCUUCAACAAACACCUUAGUUUGAAGACACAAUUCUCUCAUACUAAAAAUAUGGAAGUUUACCAUGUAAUUAGAGAUUUGGUCUCAUUGCUUGUUGUUGGUUUAUUAAUGAUAUGGGGAUGGAGAGCUUUAAACUGGGUAUGGUUGGCCCCAAAGAGGCUCGAAAGGUGCUUGAGACAACAGGGUUUUGCAGGGAAUCCUUACAGGUUCCUUUCUGGUGACAUAAAAGAGCUCUCAACUAUGAGCAGACAAACAAGAGCCAAACCUAUGCCUCUUAGUGAUGAUAUUGGGCCUUAUGUUGCUCCUUUUCUUCAUCAAACUGUCAACCAGUAUGGUAUGUUUAAUUAUUAUUUAAUCUUCAAUUUAUGAUAAUUCUUUGUUAUUUAUGAAUGGAAUUUAUUGGGAGGAAAUGCAGGAAAGAAUUCAUUUACGUGGAUUGGUCCAAGACAAAGGGUGAACAUUAUGGACCCUGAAAAAAUAAGAGAAAUAUUUACCAAAUUUAAUGACUUCCAGAAGGUGCGUACCAAUCCACUGCUUACUUUGCUUGUAAGCGGCCUUGUUAACCUCGAAGGAGACCGAUGGAGCAAACAUAGAAAAAUCAUAAACCCUUCAUUUCAUCAAGAUAAGUUGAAGGUAUAGAAUAGUGAUGGGUACUUAAGACUUAAUUUACAGAAAACAUGAUACUUAAAUCUAUGCUUUUCUGAUUUAGAAAUGAUUGGAUGCAGAAUAUGUUGCCAGCAUUUUAUCAAAGUUGUUGUGACAUGUUAAGCAAAUGGGAGAAGAUGGUGUGUACAGAAGGAUACAGUGAGUUAGAUGUGUGGCCUUAUCUUGUAGAUUUGACAAGAGAUGUGAUUUCCCGAUCUGCUUUUGGAAGCAGCUUCGAAGAAGGCAGACGAAUUUUCCAAUUACUAGAUGACCAACUCGUUCUCAGAAUCAAAUUACUACAAACUGUUUACAUUCCAGGAUGGAGGUAACCCUCAAUUUACUUGAAAAAGGUUGCAAAUGUUGGAAUUGGCUAAAUUCGUGUUUGUUUCCUUAAAGGUUUUUGCCCACAAAGACAAACAGGGAGGUGAAGAUGAAACACAAAGACAUAAAAGAGUCGCUCAGGGAAAUGAUAAAAAGAAGAGAGCAGGCAAUUAAAGCAGGGGAAGAGAGCAAUGAGGACUUGUUGGACAUACUUGUGGAAUCCAAUAUCAGAGAAAUGGAAGCAAAGAAAAAGGGGAUGAGCAUUGAGGAUGUGAUUGAGGAAUGCAAGCUGUUUUACUUUGCUGGCCAGGAGACCACUUCGGUCUUGCUGGUGUGGACUAUGGUUUUAUUAGCAAGGUAUCCCGAUUGGCAAAGUAAAGCAAGAGAGGAGGUUUUGCAUGUUUUGGGUGACAGUAAACCUGAUGCUGAUGGCCUUAAUCGCCUCAAAGUUGUAAGUCCCUAGCAUGUCUUUUGAAGGUCCGAUCAAUAAGGUCGACAACUCAAAAAUUUGGUUUCUUUUUUCGCUAAUUCUACAGUUAACAAUGAUAUUGUACGAGGUUCUAAGGCUGUACCCAUCAGCGACUGAGCUAGGACGUUCCGUUCCAAAAGAAAUAAAACUGGGAAAUUUGUUGUUACCAGCAGGAACAGAAAUUUCGGUUCCGAUCCUGCUGAUCCACCAUGACAAAGAUCUUUGGGGCGAUGACGCACGGGAAUUUAAGCCAGAGCGGUUCGCGGAAGGGGUUUCCAAAGCAACAAAGAGUCAAGUCACGUUUCUGCCAUUCGGAUGGGGUCCUAGGAUCUGCAUUGCCCAGAAUUUUGCUAUGAUGGAAGCCAAAAUGGCGGUGGCCAUGAUUCUCCAACGCUUCUGGUUCGAGCUUUCCCCUUCCUAUGCUCACUCUCCUUGCAGCAUGGUAACGCUUCGUCCACAGCAUGGUGCACAGAUUAUUUUACAUAAACUUGGCUCUAAUUGAGUAGUUAUGUAAACAAAUCAUUGUGAAAAUAGUGUUUUAACGUAUCGUAAAAACUCCGGUGUCUGUAAUGGAACAUUUCCGAUGCAUGGAUAGUAAAUUUUGUGAUGUUUGGUGAAGUCCGAAAUAAUAUGCAGAACUUGAGUGUCCUGAAUGGAUGUAGUAUUUAAUGGUGGACAUAGUUGAGGGACUAAUGUGGGAAUUAUCAAACAAAGAAUUGCAUAUGGUACAAAGACUUGUAUGGAAAUUAGAGCAGGGGGAGUAGAAAAUGACUACUUCUACGGGCAUCAAUUGAGAAAGAUUUCCGGUGCAAAUGUUAGCAAAUUUUUGAGCUUCAGCCUUAAACAUUAGCAAGAUUGCAAUACCGGGAUUAUCUAGUGUUGGUUGCCCACUCAAUUGAGGGUUAAGUUGAAGGAUUUGUUGAAGCAAGCUAAGCUAUCAAUCAAGGUUGGAGAAAGCUUAGGAGGUCACAAUACAUCAUUAUUGCAUAAUUAUUUAAAUGAAAUUUAAUAUUUAAAUAAAAAAUAUUAAUAUAGUACCAACAAUAUUCCAUUUCUUUUAACCAAGUGUUUCUAGAUUAUGAAAUUCAUUAAUGAUUUGUAAAAUAUAUUGAUGCGAUCCCGGCCGCAUCAUGUUUCGAUACAACUCGACGACCUCAGAAUUGACCUAAACUCUAGGGGCCCAAGUGCAAAAUGAAGCUUAAUUUCAGCUCAAUGAGCUCAAUUCUAGCUUCUUCAAGCUCGUCUAGUUCAACCCAAGCUCAUUUAGCUUAACUUCAACCCAUUUUUAAUUUGUUGGAAUAAGUAUUUAGUUGCUGGAAUAAAUUACUCAUCUUAGUUAAUUGAGUUCAUCUUAGUUAAUUAAGUUGUUGGAAUAUGUUACUCAUCUUAGUUAAUUUAGUUGCUAGAAUAAUUUAUUGUUGCAUGUGUUUUUAAGUUUAUUAAAUUCAGUUAAGUGUUAAAUGUGUUUAUUUACAGUUUAUUAACUAAGCUUGUUAAGUCUAAUAUGUGUUAAAAUGUGUUUAAUGUGUUUGUUUGUAGGUGACUAAUCAGUUGGAAACAGUUAUGUACAAGGGCUGUUACAAAGUGUUAAAUGCGACUAUUCAUUUGGAAUCGGUUACAUACAAGGGGCUAUUACAUUAUUUAAAGGAGAGCAUUAUACAUCAUUUAAAGGAGAAUUUAAAGCUUUUCCUAAACUUUUUGGCUGCUCAAGAAUGAAAUCUAAGCAUUCAAGCUUAUUAAAUCAACUGAAUUAGAACAUUAAAUGAUCUUAUUGAUAGUUGCUGUUAUUUAGGCCUAGAAUUUCAAGAGUUUGUGCUUAGUGACUAAGUUAAUUUCAGCUCAUUAUUAGCUCAUUAAGCUGAACAAAAGUGACUAUUCGGCUAGGCCUCAUUUAGCACUAUAAAUACUUGUAAUCAGCUCAUUGUAAAAAAAACUUUUUGCUGAAUUUAUGCUAAAUUUGAAACUUGUGAGAUUUCCAAUUCUCGUUGUUCUUUCGAGAUUGAAUUGACUUAUCAAGUUUUCUUGUGGCAUCAUUCUUUCUUUUGUUUAAACCGAACUUAUCACCUUUUGGUGUGGCGUUCAUAUACAUUUGGUUCCUAUCACUUUUGAUAGUGGGUAAAGGUCCUUGCUGUUUUCUUUAAACCGUAAAUCACCUAAGAGCUAUUUUGAGACUCGGGUCAACAAUCUAAUAUUGUUGGUUCAUUCUCGGUCUUAGCCAAAUUAUCCAUUAUUUACUUAACCAUUUUACCUACUACCAUUGUUUGAAGCCAUUUAUCCUAUUUUGUUUCAUUUAACUGAAACGAACUUAUCCUUACUCAAUUCACGAUCGGGUAAUCUAAACGACUCGAAUCAUUCCGAAACGAGUUCGUAUCAUAUAUCCUCCAUUCUUAUUGAGUGGGUGUAAUGAAAAUUCUCCUAUUUCUAAUUGUGAUAAAGUAGAGACUCUCUUUAGAAAAAAGGCAGCAACAUUUUUCAAUUAUUAAUUGAACACCUUGGUGAAUUUUCGUUUUUUUUCUUUUUUUCUUUUUACGGUUCAAUUUUCGUUUGGGUAUUGUAAUUUCAGGUUAAUCAUUGUUUGGUUGAUAUUCUCAACUUCAAUCUUUAAUUUACUUGAGAUUAUUAGUUGAUUGUUUUUGUUGGAAUCAUAUGAUUUUAUUGUGUAUUUAUGUUUUAAUCUUUUAGAAAGAAGUUUUUAUGUGGACUUUCAAGCUUCGUAAUUUUUAUUAUUUGCUUUACGUAAAAAAAACUCGUGGGAUACAAAAAUUCACAAAAAAACUUGCUAUAAGAUUACAACACAAAACCAUAAGCUUAUAACUCAACAAAAGCUAUCAAUAAAUAAUCUCAAGCUAGCUAAAGAGAAAUGUAGAGAAUAUCACCCAAACAGUAACUUGCUUUAAAAGUUAAAAAUCCAAAGUUAUAGUACCCCAAACGAAAAUCGAAUAUUAAACAUUAAAGAUCUUCGAUUCUACUAGCUAUUGUAAAAAAAAAAAUUCCAACGGACACCAAAUAGACCUUUGAUCGAAGAAAAUACGAAAACUAGUCUGGUUAAAACUACAUGCCAAACUCACUUUUUCUCAUUUCUUUAACUUGCGGUGAAAUUCAAAACUAAUGUUAUAUUUUUUCACUGAAAUUAACUUUAAAAAAAUUAUCUGAAAAAAAUGAUUGAUUUUUCAAAAAAGAUUGAUAUUUUUUUAUGUUUGGAUGAUUUUUUGUAAAAUAUAUUUCGUUGUUUGACAAAUUUUUUUGAAAUAAUUUUCUUAGAGUUGUUUUUAGUAAAACAAACAUAAGAUAGAUAUAUUUGUUACAAAAGAUUAUAGUAACAUUUUCUUUUGACAAUUUAAAUUUAUUUUAUAACAAGAUGAUAUUUUAUAAUAAUUAAUAUUAUAUAUAAACUUAAUAAUAAACAAUAUCUAAUUAAAACUUAAUUUAUAUUAAAUAUAUUAAUAAAGCUAAGUAUAAUUUAAACAAAUACUCAUGUUUUAUAUCAUUAAAAUAUUAAUAUAAAUAUUUUUCAAUAAUAUAUUAAGAAUAUUAUUUAAAAUUUAAAAUUAUUAUUUUUAAAAUUAAUUAUUAAAAUAAAAAUGUAAUAUUAAAUAAUUUAUCAAAAUGAUAAGUCAUAUUAAUAAUUUAUUAGAUUAUUAAAUAUAAAUAAUUAAAUAUGUAUAUUUAAUAAUAUUGAACAUUAUAAUAUUUUUUAUUAAUAUUUUAAUAUUAUUAAUAUAAUAAUAUUGGACUUGAUUCAAGUUAAUUUUUAUAUAAAAAAAAUAAAAUUACAUGUAAAUGAACUCAUUUUCAAAAAAAUAACUUGUACUUUUAAAAAAGGUAAACUAAUUUACAGAAAAACAAACUUAUUUUCUGUUAAUCUAUAAUUUUUUUUGUUAAUCAAAUUAUUUUCAUGAAAUAAAUAUAAAAAAAUACAAAAAAAAAACAGUUUCCAUAUUAACACUCAAUACUAAACUGUCAUUUUCCUCCGCUUCCCUAAUUUGUAUGUAGCAGUGAACGUUUGAUCGAAUCGAGUAAAAAAAAUUGAGUUGACGAGUCAUAUUUUAUCAUCUUAACUUGAUUUGAAAUUUUUUUAAAUCAAGUCAAAGACUAAGAGCACAUAAAUUUGAAACCUUAUCUAUUUGAAUUUGUUUUAAAAAAAAAAAGAAAAAAAAUACUUUAGCAUGAUAAACUUGAAUUGUGAAUUAACUUAUUUAGGUCCCAAAAUUAUUAUUUUAUAAUUUUUUUAAAAAAUAUAAAUUUUAAAAUUUUUAUAAAUAUUUUGAAUUGAAUUUUUGUUGAAAGAGAGACCGAUCUAUCAUUUUCAAAAUUAAAAAAAAGACCAAACUAUAUUUACAGUAAUUUAUUAUUCGAAUUAUUUAAAUUAUAUAAUUUAACUCAAUUUAAAAUCGAAACUCGAAUAACUCAAUUUUUAACCCGAAAUUUAUUUUUUAAAUUUUUUAAAUCAAAUCGAAUUUUGUUCGCCCUACAUCAAUAACUUUGUAUCCAUAUCAAGCUUUUUUUUAAGCUAUAUAUAUUAUUUUAGAGAAUACAUGGUCACCACGGUUCAAUGAUUGAACACCACUCCACUCUCCACUUUUUUUAGAUAAGUCUUUGGCCUGUGUGGUUUAUCCUCUUAAUUUUUUGAGGAUAUCAUUUACUAAAUAAUUUAUUUUUUACAUAAAUUUUAAUAUAUAUUAAUAAUAAAUUAAUUCAAUUGGUAAUAUUUAACUAUUCUCAUAACUCAUUUUUAAUAAAGAAAAUAAUAAAAUUCGAUUAUGAUAAGGAGGUUUUAUUUUUAACAAAAAUUAUUUUUUAUAUUUCUAAGUUUAAAUCUAAAUUUAUACAAGUUAUUCUUUAUUUUAUAUCUAAUUAUUGUAAAACAUAAAUAAUAUUUUUUUUUCCUUUUCAUGCUACCAAACAAUCCAUUAAUCAUUAAUUAUAUUAAAAUCUUUGACUUAUUAAUAUUUAUGGAAAGUAAAUCGGAUGCUAAAGAAAUCUUAGUCAAACCAAAAAGAAAGAAGAGAUAGAGGUGGGCAAAGCUGAGGUUCAGCUUUCAUAAACACCUUCAUUUGAAGACACAGUUCUCAUACUCAAACCAAAAGACAUGGAAGUUUUCCUUGUAAUUAGAGAUCUGGUUUCACUGCUUGUUGUUGGGUUAUUAAUGAUAUGGGGAUGGAGGGCUUUAAACUGGGUAUGGUUGACCCCAAAGAGACUCGAAAGGUGCUUGAAACAACAGGGUUUUGCAGGAAAUCCUUAUAGGUUCCUUUCUGGAGACAUCAAAGAGAGCUUCACUAUGAGCAGACAAACAAGAGCCAAACCUAUGCCUGUUAGUGAUGAUAUUGAGGCUUAUGUUGUUCCUUUUCUUCAUCGAACUAUCAACAAUCAUGGUAUGUUCUACAUUAAUCUGCAAUUUCAUCGUGAUAUUCAGAUUUCUUUUUUUAUGUCUGAAGUUUAUUAGGGGAUAUGCAGGAAAUAAUUCAUUUAUGUGGUUUGGUCCAAGACCAAGGGUGACAAUUAUGGACCCUGAAAAAAUAAGAGAAAUAUUUACCAAAUUCAAUGACUUCCAGAAGCCUCAUUCCAAUCCACUGGUUAGAUUCCUUGUAGGUGGCCUUUCCAACCUCGAGGGAGACCAAUGGAGUAAGCAUAGAAAAAUUUUAAACCCUGCAUUUCAUCAAGAUAAGUUGAAGGUAUGUUGUAUUUGCACUUUUUUUCCUCUUUCAAUUCAAUCAUUUUGACUUACCUUAAUCAAUACCUUUAGGAGACUAAUUUUCAUUUCUAAUAUAUUUAUGUACUUCUGGUAUGGAAAUAAUUGCAGAACAUGUUGCCAGCAUUUUAUCAAAGUUGUAAUGAGAUGAUAAGCAAAUGGGAGGAGAUGGUGUCUAAAGAAGGGUACAGUGAGUUAGAUGUGUGGCCUUAUAUCGUAAAUAUGACAAGAGAUGUGAUUUCCCGAGCUGCGUUUGGGAGCAGCUACGAAGAAGGAAGAGGAAUUUUCCAACUAUUAGAGGACCUAACCUCUCUCACAAUCAAAGUUUUUCAAUCUGUUUACAUUCCAGGAUGGAGGUAAACCUGAACUUUAUCUUCGAGUUUUAAGGAAAAUGUUACAGAUGUUGAAAUUCGAAUCUCGGGUGUUUGUUUUCUUGAAGGUUUUUACCCACAAAGACUAACAGGGAGUUGAAGAUGAAACACAAAGACAUAAAAGAAUCGCUUAGGGAAAUGAUAAAGAGAAGAGAGAAGGCAAUUAAAGCAGGGGAAGAGAGCAAUGAGGACUUGUUGGACAUACUUGUGGAAUCCAAUAUCAGAGAAAUGGAAGCAAAGCAUAAGGGGAUGAGCAUUGAGGAUGUGAUUGAGGAAUGCAAGCUGUUUUACUUUGCUGGCCAAGAGACCACUUCGGUCUUACUGGUGUGGACUAUGGUUUUACUAGCAAGAUAUCCUGAUUGGCAGACUAAAGCAAGGGACGAGGUCUUGCAUGUUCUUGGUGACCGUAAACCUGAUGCUGAUGGCCUUAAUCGUCUCAAAGUUGUAAGACCCC